AUUGAACGCUGGCGGCAGGCCUAACACAUGCAAGUCGAGCGGCAGCGGGAAAGUGGCUUGCUACUUUUGCCGGCGAGCGGCGGACGGGUGAGUAAUGCCUGGGGAUCUGCCCAGUCGAGGGGGAUAACUACUGGAAACGGUAGCUAAUACCGCAUACGCCCUACGGGGGAAAGCAGGGGACCUUCGGGCCUUGCGCGAUUGGAUGAACCCAGGCGGGAUUAGGUAGUGGGUGAGGUAAUGGCUCACCAAGGCGACGAUCCCUAGCUGGUCUGAGAGGAUGAUCAGCCACACUGGAACUGAGACACGGUCCAGACUCCUACGGGAGGCAGCAGUGGGGAAUAUUGCACAAUGGGGGAAACCCUGAUGCAGCCAUGCCGCGUGUGUGAAGAAGGCCUUCGGGUUGUAAAGCACUUUCAGCGAGGAGGAAAGGUUGGUAGCUAAUAACUGCCAGCUGUGACGUUACUCGCAGAAGAAGCACCGGCUAACUCCGUGCCAGCCGCCGCGGUAACAC
rnacentral:rRNA from 1 species